rnacentral:misc_RNA from 1 species
CGACAAAGGAACUCUCCCAGCGUUUUCUUCUUUCUUUCUGCAGCUCGACGGUAGUCCUCCGAUCAGCCAUUUCUUCGCCGGAAACCUUACUCCAAUGGCUCAGAAUCUCAAGGUUCUUAUUAUCGGAGGAACUGGCUACAUCGGAAAAUUCAUAGUACAAGCCAGCGCCAAAGCCGGUCAUCCUACCUAUGCCUUGAUCCGCAAGUCUUCGCUCGCAAGCCCCGCCAAGUAUCGAAUCAUCAAUCAUUUCAAAAGCUUAGGG